CCUACGGGAGGCAGCAGUGGGGAAUAUUGGACAAUGGGGGGAACCCUGAUCCAGCGACGCCGCGUGAGUGAAGAAGUAUUUCGGUAUGUAAAGCUCUAUCAGCAGGGAAGAAAAUGACGGUACCUGACUAAGAAGCCCCGGCUAACUACGUGCCAGCAGCCGCGGUAAUACGUAGGGGGCAAGCGUUAUCCGGAUUUACUGGGUGUAAAGGGUGCGCAGGCGGCGUGUCAAGCAAGCGGUAAAAUAGCGGGGCUCAACCCCGUCGAGCCGUUUGAACUGGCGCGCUUGAGUUCAGGCGAGGUAGGCGGAAUUCGUGGUGUAGCGGUGAAAUGCAUAGAUAUCACGAAGAACUCCGAUUGCGAAGGCAGCUUACCAGUCUGCGACUGACGCUCAGGCACGAAAGUGUGGGUAUCGAACAGGAUUAGAUACCCCUGUAGUC
rnacentral:rRNA from 1 species